CCUACGGGGUGCAGCAGUGAGGAAUAUUGGUCAAUGGCCGGGAGGCUGAACCAGCCAAGUCGCGUGAGGGAAGACGGCCCUACGGGUUGUAAACCUCUUUUGUCAGGGAGCAAGGUGCAGGUCGGGACCUGCUGCGAGAGUACCUGAAGAAAAAGCAUCGGCUAACUCCGUGCCAGCAGCCGCGGUAAUACGGAGGAUGCGAGCGUUAUCCGGAUUUAUUGGGUUUAAAGGGUGCGUAGGCGGAAUAUCAAGUCAGCGGUAAAAAUUCGGGGCUCAACCCCGUCGUGCCGUUGAAACUGAUGUUCUUGAGUGGGCGAGAAGUAUGCGGAAUGCGUGGUGUAGCGGUGAAAUGCAUAGAUAUCACGCAGAACUCCGAUUGCGAAGGCAGCAUACCGGCGCCCAACUGACGCUGAAGCACGAAAGCGUGGGUAUCGAACAGGAUUAGAUACCCGAGUAGUC
rnacentral:rRNA from 1 species